AUGAAGCAAGCAUAUCGACACAAGUUCACUUGAUUUGAACUCUACUAUUUGUGGUUACGGUAGAUGCAAAGGUCAAUGCUUUGCACAUUUCAGUGAUCUGGGAAAUGAUAGCAGUGACGUGGAUCAACUUCCACAUGCUUCAUUACUCAAUACCUGGGGAAAGACACUUUUGACUGACUGAAUUUUCUCCUUAGAUUGGUGAGAUCAGACACUCUGAAUUUGUGAAACUUGUUUUCCAUGAUUGCAUUUCAUCAAGAGGUUACCAAGAUUGAAGAUAGGUACCUGUUUCAUUCUCUGUGUGUCCAAGUGGGAACCAUUUUUUGCAGAUCACAAGUGACAAACUGUUAGAGAUCUGUAGCUGCUCUCUGGACAAAGCAAGUGGGGUUAGGUUUUGGCUUGCAUUCUUGGAUGCAAUAUUGUAUUGGCAACUAGUGUGUUGACCUUGGGGACACGGAUCUGUUCACAUGCCUAUGUCUAUCUAUCUAUCUUAUCUACAUACCCGAAUCUCACCGAAACCCUCAAUUUAGAGAGAAAAAAAAUGAAGCAGAUUCUCGUGAUCCAAUGUUUCAGUUAACAAAAGGUUAAAACUUUUUCAAAGUGGGUAGUCGGUUAGUAGAGGUGUGUUAUGGCACUUUAGAGGUUCCGGGUGCGAAUUAAUCAUUCCCUAUAGAUGGUCGAUGGAUACUUCUGCAAAGUUUUCUUUUUCUAUUUGUUACUUCGGGUUUUUCAUAUGGAUUUGUCUUGAUUAGUAUGGUCCUUUGACAAGUUACGUUCCCUUUUCAGAGAUUUGUUUGGUGCUUUCAAUGGAGUUUGACAAAUAUAAGGGGGGUGCAUAGCUAGUGCUUUUCAAGCGAAAUGAGGAAGGAGUGCUCAGGUUACAUAGUCAUACAAUUUGUCCUCGUUCGUAUUUGAAGGUGGUCUCGGAUGAUAGUUGGCAAGUAUCUUAAGAAGAGGUUAAAACUCUCUUUGGGUUUAGCCAUUGAUUUGACAGUGGGUGGGUUACUCUUUUUGGCUUUAAGAGCCGACCAUGUGCAGUGGAGAUGGGCCAGUCGUCCUUUUGUGUUGGUAAAAGUUAUAUGCUUGAUUCUAUGCUCCUCUUUUUAUUCAUUAGCUCUCAGUCGGCAAACUGUGCUGUCGUUCUUGAGGGAGUUUUGAUAUGCCAGGUUUCAUAUGAAUACGGGUGAAGUUCUCUAUGGAGAUCAAAACAAAGAAUUACCUUUUCUUGCUCAAAGGAGUUUCUAGGUUUCUCCACUCUAUGUCGACAUUGGGACUUGAGAUGAAUCACAAUGUGAAACUCCUACAUGAUAAGGCUUUGUUUUUCGA
rnacentral:lncRNA from 1 species